UGAAUCCACUAGAUACCAGCGGCAACAUUCAUUUGGCUUUUGCAUAGUCUUUGACCCAAAGUGUUGCCAUAUAAUUUAAUGGGUUCAACUUAGCCACAUUUUGAAAUGCUAUAAGUGACUUGAUUUAAUCAUAUUAUUUAUUUUCGAGGGAAUAUGUUCUGGAAUAGAGAGUUUUAAUUUACACACAAGAUACGACUUUCUUUCUCCUGUUUGGAGUUUUUAGUUUUUUAGAUGGUAAACUUCUCUCACCUAACAUAGUUGGUACGGUUUGAGAGCCAGUGUUCCUAGGCUUCGGUAUAUUAAAUCUUGUUUAUUAAAAUUGUUUCUGUUGCUGUAAGUAUUACGCAACACUUUAAAAUAUACAGCAACAAAUAUUUACAUUUGUUGCUUUAUAUUGCUUCCAUAUUUUUACACUCACCCAAACUUAUUAGUCUCAUGUCAAAUUUUUAAUUUCUUAGUGAUUAUAAUAUGUUGUUAGGUCAUGUCUACUAAAUAAGUUGCGAACCGUUCCGUGCUAGUUUCAGGAGAGCGGCCAUUGAUAUUUGCACUAUUUUUUAUUUACAUUGUGGUGGGAGUUGUGUGAUUAUAUUUAUCAAUAUGGCUAGAAAUGGCUCUAUCGAAACACUCGAAAAUGUUGAAUCGGAAUAAUUUUAUAAAGACAAAGUCGUUUUGUAUUGAGUUGCGUGAUCAUAAGUGAUACGGGGCAUUUAGUAGAGGUAGCGAGUUUUGAGACUUGGGAACGAAUAUGACUGGUUUUCGAUAUUUCCAUAGUGCCAUUUAGAAGCCGUGGUUUGACGGGCGUGCCGCAGCGGCGCGGCGCGAGGCUUGACUGUAGAGACCGUCAAGUACAUGUAAAUGUAUCUAUUCAACUGUAUAGGUGUUUCCUAUAUCGCAACUAAAAUUCAUUCCUCCUUGUUUUUUAGUUUAUAAAGGAAAUUGUUAAAAAUAGGAAUUUCAUAAAUAUUACAGAAAAACAUCAGUUGUUGUCUCUGUUCUAUGACUUCUAUGAUACCCCAAAGAAAUAUAGAAAUAUUUCUGAGGUAUAAUUUAUACAUAUAAUAGUGGUUUAUGUUAUUUUAUUUCUUCAACGAUUAAAUAUAAUUUUUCAGUUGCGUUAAGUAAAUCGGUUUAUGUAAAUAUUUUCCUUUGAAAAAGUAAAGAUAAGGAAGCGCGAUUCAGCAAUAAUGGAUGUGUCUACACAUAUGUGUCUGUUUCUAUCGUAGCAUCUAUUUUAUUAUUCAUGUUUGUAUUGUUUUCGUUUGAUCGUGAAUUACAGUUUGUCACAAAUUUAUAUUGGAGCUAGAGGUUGGUUUCAAGUAAAUCCGCGGCGCUAUAUUCACU